GACGCUUCGGUUGAUUCAGCGAGUGGAAAGCGGCGGACGGGUGAGUAACGCGUAGGCAACCUGCCCUUCACACAGGGAUAGCCUCGGGAAACCGGGAUUAAUACCUGAUAACACAUUGAGAUUGCAUAUUCUUAAUGCCAAAGAUUUAUCGGUGAGGGAUGGGCCUGCGUCUGAUUAGCUAGUUGGUGGGGUAACGGCCCACCAAGGCGACGAUCAGUAGCCGACCUGAGAGGGUGAUCGGCCACAUUGGAACUGAGACACGGUCCAGACUCCUGCGGGAGGCAGCAGUGGGGAAUAUUGCACAAUGGGCGCAAGCCUGAUGCAGCAACGCCGCGUGAAGGAUGAAGGCCAUUCGGUCGUAAACUUCUGUCCUUGGGGAAGAAACAAAUGACGGUACCCUUGGAGGAAGCCCCGGCUAACUACGUGCCAGCAGCCGCGGUAAUACGUAGGGGGCAAGCGUUAUCCGGAAUCAUUGGGCGUAAAGCGUGCGUAGGCGGUUUUUUAAGCGCAGGGUUUAAGGCUACAGCUUAACUGUAGUUCGCCUUGCGUACUGACUGACUAGAGUGCAGGAGGGGCGAGCAGAAUUCCUAGUGUAGCGGCGAAAUGCGUAGAUAUUAGGAGGAACACCGGUGGCGAAGGGGGCCCGCCGGUCUGUAACUGACGUUGAGGCUCGAAAGCGUGGGGCGCACACAGGAUUAGAUACCCUGGUAGUCCACCCCGUAAAUGAUGAAUAUUAGGUGUCGGGGAUUAAGGAUCUUUGGUGCCGCAGCUAACGCAAUAAGUAUUCCUCCUGGGGAGUGCGUUCGCAAGAAUGAAACUCAAAGGAAUUGACGGGGACCCGCCCAAGCGGGGAGCAUGUGUUUUAAUUCGAAGCAACGCGAAGAACCUUACCAAGUCUGACAUCCCUCUGAAUAACGGGUAAUACACGUA
rnacentral:rRNA from 1 species